rnacentral:rRNA from 1 species
AGUGAACGCUGGCGGCGUGCAUAACACAUGCAAGUCGAACGGGAACGGGUUAUAGCUUGCUAUAAUUGUCAGCUAAGUGGCGCACGGGUGAGUAAUGUAUAGGUAAUAUGCCUCUUACUAAGGGAUAACAAAUGGAAACGUUUGCUAAUACCUUAUACUCCUUAUUAACAGAAGUUAAUAAGGGAAAGAUUUAUUGGUAAGAGAUUAGCCUGUAUUGUAUCAGUUAGUUGGUGGGGUAAUGGCUUACCAAGACUAUGACACAUAACUGGUUUGAGAGGAUGAUCAGUCACACUGGAACUGGGACACGGUCCAGACUCCUACGGGAGGCAGCAGUGGGGAAUAUUGCACAAUGGACGAAAGUCUGAUGCAGCAACGCCGCGUGGAGGAUGACACAUUUCGGUGCGUAAACUCCUUUUAUAUGAGAAGAUAAUGACGGUAUUAUAUGAAUAAGCACCGGCUAACUCCGUGCCAGCAGCCGCCGUAA